GGUAGUAGCAUGUAUUCAAACAAGGACUCUGAAGGCAGAAGUAAAGAAGGGUUCCAUGUGAACAGCAGUUGACCAUGGGUCAGUAGGUCCUGAGAAAUGGGUGAGCCACUUUCUGAAAGGAUUCUUUCAAUCGGGAGAAGAAACAAAAUCAUUCUUAGGUCAACAAAAACUGAAAGAAUUUACCAACACUAAACCAGUUCUUCAAGAAAUACUAA
rnacentral:ncRNA from 1 species